UACAGAGGGGGCAAGCGUUAUUCGGAAUUAUUGGGCGUAAAGGGCGCGUAGGCGGCUUUGCAAGUGACGGGUGAAAGCCCUCGGCUUAACCGAGGAACUGCCUGUCAGACUGUGAGGCUUGAGACCGGGAGAGGUGAGUGGAAUUCCCAGUGUAGCGGUGAAAUGCGUAGAUAUCUGGAGGAACACCGGUGGCGAAGGCGACAUCCUGGACCGGUAUUGACGCUGAGGCGCGAAAGCCAGGGGAGCAAACGGG
rnacentral:rRNA from 1 species